UACCAGACUCCUACGGGAGGCAGCAGUGAGGAAUAUUGGUCAAUGGGCGGGAGCCUGAACCAGCCAAGCCGCGUGAGGGAAGAAGGUACAGCGUAUCGUAAACCUCUUUUGUCAGGGAACAAAGGCGGGGACUAGUCCCCGGAUGAGGGUACCUGAAGAAAAAGCAUCGGCUAACUCCGUGCCAGCAGCCGCGGUAAUACGGAGGAUGCGAGCGUUAUCCGGAUUUAUUGGGUUUAAAGGGUGCGUAGGCGGAAUGCCAAGUAAGGGGUAAAAUCGCGGGGCCCAACCUCGCUCCGCCGUUGAAACUGGCAGACUUGAGUUGGCGAGAAGUACGCGGAAUGCGCGGUGUAGCGGUGAAAGGCAUAGAUAUCACGCAGAACUCCGAUUGCGAAGGCAGCAUACCGGCGCCCGACUGACGCUGAGGCACGAAAGCGUGGGGAUCGAACAGGAUUAGAUACCCGGGUAAG
rnacentral:rRNA from 1 species